rnacentral:rRNA from 1 species
CUACGGGGCGCUCCAGGCGAGAAAACUUUGCAAUGUGCGAAAGCACGACAAGGUUAAUCCGAGUGGUUUCUGCUAAAGGAACCUUUUGACAGUCCUAGAAACACUGUUGAAUAUGGGGUGGGCAAGUUCUGGUGUCAGCCGCCGCGGUAAAACCAGCACCUCAAGUGGUCAGGAUGAUUAUUGGGCCUAAAGCAUCCGUAGCCGGCUCUGUAAGUUUUCGGUUAAAUCUGUACGCUCAACGUACAGGCUGCCGGGAAUACUGCAGAGCUAGGGAGUGGGAGAGGUAGACGGUACUCGGUAGGAAGGGGUAAAAUCCUUUGAUCUAUUGAUGACCACCUGUGGCGAAGGCGGUCUACCAGAACACGUCCGACGGUGAGGGAUGAAAGCUGGGGGAGCAAACCGGAUUAGAUACCCUGGUAGUC